rnacentral:rRNA from 2 species
CACGGACCAAGGAGUCUAACACGUGCGCGAGUCGCAGGGUAGUACGAAACCCGAAGGCGCAACGAAAGUGAACCUUUUCUUACGAAUCGGUAGGUGGGAUCCCGGACCGAAUCCCGCUCGCGGGAAGAAUGGGCGCACCACCGGCCUGUCUCGGCCGCGACGUCGGCGAGGCGGAGCAAGAGCGUACGCGUUGGGACCCGAAAGAUGGUGAACUAUGCCUGAGCAGGAUGAAGCCAGAAGAAAUUCUGGUGGAGGUCCGCAGCGAUUCUGACGUGCAAAUCGAUCGUCAAACUUGGGUAUAGGGGCGAAAGACUAAUCGAACCAUCUAGUAGCUGGUUCCCGUCGAAGUUUCCCUCAGGAUAGCUGGCGCUCAUUGGAUAAGCAGUUUUAUCCGGUAAAGCGAAUGAUUAGAGGCCUUGGGGACGUACAGACCUCAACCUAUUCUCAAACUUUAAAUGGGUAAGACGUCCGUCUCGCUUGAUUGGAGUCGGGCUGUUCGAAUGCGAGUGCCAAGUGGGCCAUUUUUGGUAAGCAGA